UUUGUACUCCCUCUGUCCCAAUAUUCUUGUCUUAAAUUUGUCUAAAUACGGAUGUAUCUAGUUACAUUUUAGUGUUAGAUACAUCCGUAUCUAAACAAAUGUAAGACAAGAAUUUUGGGACGGAGGGAAUACUAC
rnacentral:pre_miRNA from 1 species